AUUUGGUUAGGUUAGUUGACAGCGUUUUUUCACAGCGGCGGGGAAUGGCCUGGUUAAAUCGGAGGGUAGAUGGAGGAGAAAGUGGGCAUCCUGAGGUUUAGUGUGGAUUGGUGUUGCACGUGGUUGGUAGGUUCGAGCCCGUCGGUGGCUGUGAACCUGGGGGUGUGGUGGUGUCUUGGUACACCCUACACUGGAACUGGUGGGUAGCAGUGUCUUGGUACACCCCUACAAUGGAUAUGGUGGGUAGCGGUGUCUUGGUACACCCCUACAAUGGAUAUGGUGGGUAGCGGUGUCUUGGUACACCCCAACAAUUUAACCUGGUGGAUAUGUCGUCAUAUUGGGCAGCCAGUUUCUGUAUUAACAUGUUAUUUAGAUUGUUAUCUAUUGUUAUUAUUGUGGGGUCAUUGCUAGGGGUAUGUUAUGUAUAUGGGGGGAUGUUAACUUUAAUAAGAUUUGUUGGCAAUGAC